AUGGCACCAAACCACCCCUGCCAGUUUGCCCCCAAGCCAGGGUGGAUGGCACCCAGCCCCUUACAGACGGGUUUUGAAGACAGGAAUUGCCAGGCAGAACCAAAUAGAAAAGUACCCAGGAUUUCGGAGAAGCCGACCACAAUGACAGCUCCAGCACCACUGCCCCAGCGCCGCUGCCACCCCUCCAGGGCCAUCCAGUACAUCCUGCUGGACAGCUGCAGGAACAUCCCAGCAUCCCACAUCCUAGCCAGCAUGGACUCCUACAGGGCCCACAGAGGGAAGCCAGCCCAGGGCUCAGGGCACUCUCUGGACGCUAGGAAGAGGCUGCCAGUGUUCCUGCAGCUGUGUGGGGACGAUGUGUCAACCACAGCCCCCAGAGAUGCGCACCUGCAAACCUUAAGCCAUGAGCGGAAAGGGCAUCCCAAUGCCAAAGCACUGAGGGAAGGCAAGAGAGGGCAGAGGAUGAAGAAGAUGGCGGGGUGCACCCUGAGUGAUAAGGCAUGAAUCACUGUGAAAUAGCUUCUGAAUAAAAGAUAGUGUUCUUGGUGUCCUUACA
rnacentral:lncRNA from 1 species